rnacentral:rRNA from 1 species
AUGGUUGCAUCUGUUAUCGCAAAUGAGAAAAUAUUUUAUAUUAGCAAGUUGCAAUUAGAGCAUACAUGUGCUCCAAGUGGUGAGAAUUGUAAGAUUCCUGCUAGGUAUGUGGUCAAAGCAGUUGAGGAUAGUUUCAGGACAGAUCCAAAAGCAGGAAUUGAGACUAUGAUAGACAAGACAAAGGCGAAGUUUGGUGUGGAGGUUGGGAAAAUGAAGGCUUAUAGGGCAAGACAACAAGCUCUUAGUGUGGUCCAAGGUGAUCAGGAAGCACACUAUACCAGGAUAAGAGACUAUCUCCAGGCUGUGCUGGACACUAACCCAGGAAGCAGAUGCAUUGUGACAAUAAGAGUUGUGAAAGAGCAUCCAAGCAAAAAUCCUAGAUUUCAUAGGCUGUUCAUUUGUUUGGGAGCUCAAAGGGAUGGUUUUCUCAAAGGA